rnacentral:tRNA from 2 species
GCGGGUGUGGUGAAAUUGGCAGACACGCAAGAUUUAGGUUCUUGUGCCGCAAGGUGUGCAGGUUCAAGUCCUGUCACCCGCACCA